CACGAUAUUUAAUUUAUUAGACUCCCUACUGAUGUUUUUUUCUAAGGUGUGUUAGUAAUAUAUAAACCAAAAAUGUUUUACAAAAAUAAAAUAAUUUAAAAUGUAUGUUCCUAUGUUUGUCUGUCAUGCAAAUGUAUAUAUGUAUGUGAGUAUACUUCAUAACAUCAUUUAUUAUUUUAUUAUUUUAUUUUUGUUACUAUUCAGUUUUUUCCAAUGGAUUUGUUUGCCAUAGCUAGUUUGGCAAUUUAUAUUUUCUGUUGUUCUUUGUAUGGUAUUAUAAAUGUAGGGAUAAGUGUUUUUUUUAUACCCAUAUUUAAAAUAAAACGGAAGAACACACCUCCUAAGACAUUGCUAGUGGUUUGCUUUGUGGUUAUUCACAUUAUUUUAGUUUCAAUAAUGACAUUAUUAACAAUUGCACCAAAUUAUACAACUUACGGAAUUCAAAAGAUAAAAAUAAACGUUAGUAAAAAAAAAAAAAAUAAAUAAAUAUAUAUAUGUAUGCUGAGCAUAUAAAUAAAAACAAAAAUAUAUGAACA
rnacentral:lncRNA from 1 species